rnacentral:tRNA from 1 species
GGUGGCUCAGUGAUAGAGCACUUGCCUUGCAUGCAUGAGGCCCUGGGUUCAAUUCCUCAGUACCA